GUUCUCCCCGAAAGCUAUUUAGGUAGCGCCUCGUGAAUUCAUCUCCGGGGGUAGAGCACUGUUUCGGCAAGGGGGUCAUCCCGACUUACCAACCCGAUGCAAACUGCGAAUACCGGAGAAUGUUAUCACGGGAGACACACGGCGGGUGCUAACGUCCGUCGUGAAGAGGGAAACAACCCAGACCGCCAGCUAAGGUCCCAAAGUCAUGGUUAAGUGGGAAACGAUGUGGGAAGGCCCAGACAGCCAGGAUGUUGGCUUAGAAGCAGCCAUCAUUUAAAGAAAGCGUAAUAGCUCACUGGUCGAGUCGGCCUGCGCGGAAGAUGUAACGGGGCUAAACCAUGCAC
rnacentral:rRNA from 1 species